AUUGAACGCUGGCGGCAUGCCUUACACAUGCAAGGUCGAACGGCAGCACGGGAGCAAUCCUGGUGGCGAGUGGCGAACGGGUGAGUAAUAUAUCGGAACGUGCCCAGUCGUGGGGGAUAACGUAGCGAAAGCUACGCUAAUACCGCAUACGAUCUAUGGAUGAAAGCGGGGGAUCGCAAGACCUCGCGCGAUUGGAGCGGCCGAUAUCAGAUUAGGUAGUUGGUGAGGUAAAGGCUCACCAAGCCGACGAUCUGUAGCUGGUCUGAGAGGACGACCAGCCACACUGGGACUGAGACACGGCCCAGACUCCUACGGGAGGCAGCAGUGGGGAAUUUUGGACAAUGGGCGCAAGCCUGAUCCAGCAAUGCCGCGUGCAGGAUGAAGGCCUUCGGGUUGUAAACUGCUUUUGUACGGAACGAAACGGUGAGCUCUAAUACAGUUUGCUAAUGACGGUACCGUAAGAAUAAGCACCGGCUAACUACGUG
rnacentral:rRNA from 1 species